rnacentral:rRNA from 1 species
GAGCGCAACCCCUACCUUUACGUUGCCAUCAGGUUAAGCUGGGGACUCUAAAGGAACUGCCUACGCAAGUAGUGAGGAAGGCGGGGAGUGACGUCAAAUCAGCACGGCCCUUACGUCCAGGGCUACACACGUGCUACAAUGGCCGAUACAGAGGGCAGCUACCUGGUGACAGGAUGCAAAUCUCCAAAGUCGGUCUCAGUUCGGAUCGGAGUCUGCAACCCGACUCCGUGAAGUUGGAUUCGCUAGUAAUCGCGCAUCAGCCAUGGCGCGGUGAAUACGUUCCCGGGCCUU